GAUCAGUCACGGCAGGUUUCUGAGGCCUGCCAUUAAAGCAUUGUCACUCAUCUAGUUAUAAAUUCAGUGCCCAGUGCUAUAACUCGUCAUGUC